UACAGAGGGGGCGAGCGUUGUUCGGAAUUACUGGGCGUAAAGGGCGCGUAGGCGGCCUGCUAAGUCGGACGUGAAAUCCCCUGGCUCAACCAGGGAACUGCGUCCGAUACUGGCGGGCUUGAAUCCGGGAGAGGGAUGCGGAAUUCCAGGUGUAGCGGUGAAAUGCGUAGAUAUCUGGAGGAACACCGGUGGCGAAGGCGGCUACCUGGACAAUUGCUGACGCUCAGGCACGAAAGCGUGGGGAGCAAAAGGG
rnacentral:rRNA from 1 species